rnacentral:tRNA from 1 species
GUUCAGGUAGCUCAGCUGGUUAGAGCAAAGGACUGAAAAUCCUUGUGUCAGUGGUUAUCUUUUAUCCUAACA